CGGGGUGUAGCGCAGCCCGGUUUAGCGCGCUUGGUUCGGGACCAAGAGGUCGGAGGUUCAAAUCCUCUCACCCCGACCA
rnacentral:tRNA from 1 species